AUCCAGCUGACCAGUCCCAAUUAGGACUAAACGCGUGUCCUUCAU
rnacentral:hammerhead_ribozyme from 1 species